rnacentral:piRNA from 1 species
GAAGUUAGGAACUAAACACUGGUC